UGAUGAUUUCACGGGUGGUCAAACCUUUUAUUGUCACUUGUCAGUGUCAGACAGUGGUCUGAAAGAUCAACAAAAAAUGCUUAUCACUUAUGUGGCUGGUUUUUUUAUCAUAGAAGAUAGGCAAAUGGUAAAUAAGUACAGCAAUAAAACCAACACUUCGUAUUUAAAGACUACUCGGUUAUUUUCUUUUAAAGGAGCACCAACAGAAACGGUUUCAAGACUCUUGUACAUUUAUCAGUUUAAAUUGGAAUUAUUUUAAUGAAUGAAUGCAAUGCCUUAGUGAUUGAUUCUUUCUAGCUCAAUAUACUUCGAUCGAUCAAUCACUCAUUGAAUUAAAUUUUUGAAUGAAACCGAAAA